GAUGAACGCUGGCGGCGUGCCUAAUACAUGCAAGUCGAGCGAACGGACGAGAAGUUUGCUCGCCCGAUGUCAGCGGGGGAGGGGAGAGGAACACGUGGACAACCUAACUAAAAGAAAGGGAUAACUAUGGGAAACCGUAGCUAAUAACGGAAAAUAUUUUGAACAGCAUUGUGCAAAAGUGAAAGAAGGUCUUUGUGUCACUUAUAGAUGGAUCAGCAGUGCAUUAUCUAGUUGGCGAGGUAACAGCUUACCAAGGCUAGGAGGCAUAGCCGACCUAAGAGGGUCGUUGGCCACCCUGGAACAGAGACACGGCCCCGACACCGGCGGGAGGAAGCAGUAGGGAAUCUUACGCGAAGGGGGAGUGGCGGACAGAGCAACAUCGCGUGAGUGAUGAACGUCCACGGAUCGGAGAACUCUGUAAUUAGGGAGGUACAUAUGUGUAAGUACCAGUGAACAUAUUGACGGUACCUAAUCAGAAAGCCACGGCUAACUACGUG
rnacentral:rRNA from 1 species